rnacentral:lncRNA from 1 species
GCGGGUUUUCAGAGCUCCCCAUUUUUUAAUUGGACAAAAUGUUCGCUAUUUUACGCUUUCAAUAAAAGAAAAUUGUUUUUGAGUGCCCUCUGACUUGUCGCUAUCAUACGGGGUCAGACCAAUCCUCCCUCUCUCUCAACUUCUCUCUCUCUCGAUGAUUGCUGAUCUGCGGCUGGGGAGCACAGGCAUGGGAUAUCCGUUCUGUCACGUGCACCUGAGAACCCACAGUGUACCCUGCGCGUGCUGAGGGUUGCGUACCAGUCACGGUCGCACUCCCCACUCUUAACUCCCUACGUAGGGAAACGAUUAGCGCAUUAAAAGGAGGUGAGGGAGAGGGCUCUGUCCAGGGUUGGCUGCCUUUAUGAACCCGUACGAAUAACGAAGUACGUUUCCAGCGCGAAUAUCUUGGGGAACUUUGGGCAGACGAGGAAAUCGACGCUGCAACCUGACGCGCUCUCAUCCCCCCCUUAUCGCACUCUUUUAGUCG